rnacentral:ncRNA from 1 species
GAAACAGGUGCCCUUAAGGGCUCAAUAGGGAAGACCGGUGAAAAGCCGGCACGGUCCCGCCACUGUAAUGCAGAGCAAAUCCAACAAAAGUCACUGAGUACAUUGGGAAGGCUGGAUGAGCAGGGAAGCAGAGUCAGGAGAACUGCCUGUUUUGAA